rnacentral:sRNA from 1 species
UUUUUUUUUGGGUUAAAUACAAUAUUACCCUUCAUCAAUACUUUUUGGAUUGUAAAACAUAUUGGGUUUGAAUGGUAACACAAUACACUUUUGUACAGUUUUGAUAGUUAUCAAUCAUAAAAACUUUAUCAAAAACGUUACAAAAAGUUUUACUCUCAGCUUUUUUUGUAGAGCUCGUUCUAAAAGUUUUGCACUGUUCCGAUAAAGCUAACAUCUAAAAUAUUUAUACAACUUUUGGUUACCAAUCAGAUCCAUUAUUUGAUUAAAAAAUGUAAUGGUUACGGUACUAGUAAAGUAUAUCUCACAGUUGAAAACUUGAAAUAGUAAAAAAAAAGUAUCCCUACCUAAACCCAUUUG